rfam:Oryza rufipogon genomic scaffold, chr11
GAAAAGUCAAACCCUGGGUUUCCGUAUCCAACUUUCACUGUUCGUUGUAUAUGAAUUUUUUUUAUAAUUCGUAUUUUUAUUGUUGUUUAGAUGAUAAAACAUGAUUAAUAUUUUAUGCGUGACUUGUUUUUUUUAAUUUUUUUCAUAAUUUUUUCAAAUAAAACGGACGGUCAAACGUUGGGCACGGAAACCCGGGUUUGUCUUUUUU